UUAAAAAUGACAUGUUUUAUGGUUGUUUUUUACAAAAACAUAAUACCUUAAUUUUUUUUCUAACUUUGUCACAUAAGGGGAGGCAACUCAAAUGAAGGGCAGAUAAUACAGAUAAAGUUAUUUUUACGAUAGAAUGUGUUAGGAAUUUACCUCUUUUGUUAUAAAGCAAGAAAACGAUCCAGCGACCCUUUUUUCUAAUCUGAAAACAUGGUACUCUAAUCUUCUUUUUAUCUCAAAAUUUGUGUAGUGUUUGUAUGCAUUAUCUAUACACAAUCUGUCUAUUUUGCACAACCUGUGUGUCUUCAUCAAUUAACGAAUGAAUAUAAGAAGAUGUGGUAUGCUUGCCAAUAAUUUAAUUCACCGUACAUGUGGAAUACCGUAUGGUAGUUUUUUGGUCUAAC
rnacentral:lncRNA from 1 species